AUCCUUUGUGGGUUUGUAAGCAUGAUGACUGGAUAUUCACACAUUUGGGUGAUAUGCCUCCCUUAAAUCUUGUUAUGCACUUGGCACAUUAUCCAUAUGAUG
ensembl:snoRNA